GAUGAAGAACGUAGCGAAAUGCGAUAAGUAAUGUGAAUUGCAGAAUUCAGUGAAUCAUCGAAUCUUUGAACGCACCUUGCGCUCCUUGGUAUUCCGAGGAGCAUGCCUGUUUGAGUGUCAUUAAAUUCUCAACCUUAUUGGCUUUUGCUGAUAAUGGCUUGGACUUGGGGGUCUUUUUGCUGGCUUUCAUUAGUCUGCUCCCCUUAAAUGUAUUAGCCGGUGCCCCGCAGUGGAACCGUCUAUUGGUGUGAUAAUUAUCUACGCCGUGGACGUCUGCUAUAAUGGGUUUGCGCUGCUUCUAACCGUCUCUCGGGACAACACAAAUGACAAUUUGACCUCAAAUCAGGUAGGACUACCCGCUGAACUUAAGCAUAUCAAUAAGCGGAGGA
rnacentral:misc_RNA from 1 species